UACAGAGGGUGCGAGCGUUGUCCGGAAUCACUGGGCGUAAAGGGCGCGUAGGUGGUUUGAUAAGGGUGUGGUGAAAGUCCGGGGCUCAACCCCGGAUCUGCCGUGCCGACUGUCAAACUCGAGGGCUGUAGAGGCAGACGGAAUUCCGGGUGUAGCGGUGGAAUGCGUAGAGAUCUGGAAGAACACCAAAGGCGAAGGCAGCAUCCUGGGAAGUUCCUGACGCUCGGGUGCGAAAGCCAGGGGAGCGAACGGG
rnacentral:rRNA from 1 species